GAUCAGAGCUGAGAGCAACACGACAUCACAAACAUCUCUGGGUUUGUUGAUUCUUAGAUUGACAUGUUUCACAACUGAAGACCGUCAUGGCAGAUUAUAUUGAAACAGGGAAGCUAGAAUGUCCCGACAAAACCUCCACAUCAAAGACUGAUUCUGUCUCAACUCAGGAGAAAAGCACGA